AAUUGCCCNAUUCCCUUGAGUUGAUCAUGGCUCAGAAUCACGCUGGCGGCGUGCCUCAGACAUGCAAGUCGAACGCGAAAGGCCCCUUCGGGGGCCGAGUAGAGUGGCGCACGGGUGAGUAACACGUAGGUAAUCUACCUCUGGGUGGGGAAUAACGACCGGAAACGGUCGCUAAUACCGCAUAAUGCAGCGGCACCACAUGGUGACAGUUGUUAAAGCGGGGGAUCGUAAGACCUCGCGCCUAGAGAUGAGCCUGCGGCGGAUUAGCUAGUUGGCAGGGUAAUGGCCUACCAAGGCAACGAUCCGUAGCCGGCCUGAGAGGGCGGACGGCCACACUGGCACUGACAUACGGGCCAGACUCCUACGGGAGGCAGCAGUCGGGAAUUUUGGGCAAUGGGCGAAAGCCUGACCCAGCAACGCCGCGUGAAGGAUGAAGCUUUUCGGAGUGUAAACCUCAUAAGAAUGGGACGAAUAAGGAGGGGUUAACACCCCCUUUGAUGACGGUACCAUUUGUAAGCUCCGGCUAACUCCGUGCCAGCAGCCGCGGUAAUACGGGGGGAGCAAGCGUUGUUCGGAUUUACUGGGCGUAAAGGGCGCGUAGGCGGCGCAACAAGUCACUUGUGAAAUCUCCGGGCUUAACCCGGAGCGGCCAAGUGAUACUGUCGUGCUAGAGUGCGGAAGGGGCUACUGGAAUUCUCGGUGUAGCGGUGAAAUGCGUAGAUAUCGAGAGGAACACCUGCGGCGAAAGCGGGUAGCUGGGCCGACAC
rnacentral:rRNA from 1 species